GAUGAAGAACGCAGCAAAAUGCGAUACGUAAUGCGAAUUGCAGAAUUCAGUGAAUCAUCAAAUCUUUGAACGCAAAUUGCGCUCUCGGGAUAGGCCUGAGAGCACGCCUCUUUGAGCAUCGAUUCUACCACAAGUCGACGACGUUCUUGCAAAAGGAUGUGCAGUUGGACAUUGAGCCUUGCCGGCCGUUCGCGGCUAAGCUGGCUUUAAAUAGAGCGAGAUACACAGCGAUCCUUCUGAACUUAACAGGAGCAUCGGUGACGUGGAUAACUUCACUUCUCGUGAACCUUCCAAUGCGUGACCGAUUGUUCAUUCAACUGUUCUGCUUGGUGGAAAGCAAUUGUGUGUCAGAAUGUCAUUCGUGACAACUUUUUUGAAUUAGAUCUCAAAUGAAGCGAGAAAACCCGCUGAACUUAAGCAUAUCAAUAAGCGGAGGA
rnacentral:misc_RNA from 1 species